UACAGAGGUCUCAAGCGUUGUUCGGAUUCAUUGGGCGUAAAGGGUGCGUAGGUGGCAGGGUAGGUCGGAUGUGAAAUCCCGGGGCUCAACCUCGGAACUGCAUUCGAUACUGCUUUGCUGGAGUACUGGAGAGGAGAUUGGAAUUUACGGUGUAGCAGUGAAAUGCGUAGAUAUCAGGAGGAACACCGAUGGCGAAGGCAGGUCUCUGGGCCACUACUGACGCUGAGGAGCGAAAGCGUGGGGAGCGAACAGG
rnacentral:rRNA from 1 species